AUUGAACGCUGGCGGCACGCCUUACACAUGCAAGUCGAACGGCAGCACGGGGCAACCUGGUGGCGAGUGGCGAACGGGUGAGUAAUGCAUCGGAACGUACCUUUCAGUGGGGGAUAACGUAGCGAAAGUUACGCUAAUACCGCAUAUUCUGUGAGCAGGAAAGCAGGGGAUCGCAAGACCUUGCGCUGAUUGAGCGGCCGAUGUCAGAUUAGCUAGUUGGUGAGGUAAAGGCUCACCAAGGCGACGAUCUGUAGCGGGUCUGAGAGGAUGAUCCGCCAAACUGGAACUGAGCCACGGUCCAGACUCCUACGGGAGGCAGCAGUGGGGAAUUUUGGACAAUGGGGGCAACCCUGAUCCAGCCAUGCCGCGUGAGUGAAGAAGGCCUUCGGGUUGUAAAGCUCUUUCGGCCGGGAAGAAAUCGCACGGGCUAAUACCCUGUGUGGAUGACGGUACCGGAAUAAGAAGCACCGGCUAACUACGUGCCAGCCGCCGCGGUAACAC
rnacentral:rRNA from 1 species